rnacentral:rRNA from 1 species
GACGUAGGGCGCGAGCGUUGUCCGGAUUUAUUGGGCGUAAAGAGCUCGUAGGCGGCUCAUUGCGUCAACCGUGAAAUCCUGCUGCUCAACGGCAGGUCUGCGGUUGAUACGGGUGGGCUGGAGUUCGGUAGGGGAGACUGGAAUUCCUGGUGUAGCGGUGAAAUGCGCAGAUAUCGGGAGGAACACCAAUGGCGAAGGCAGCUCGCUGGGACGUUACUGACGCUGAGACGCGAAAGCGUGGGGAGCAAACAGG